rnacentral:rRNA from 1 species
ACGGGUGCGUAACGCGUGGGAAUCUGCCCUUUGGUCUGGGAUAACUGUUGGAAACGACAGCUAAUACCGGAUGAUGACGUAAGUCCAAAGAUUUAUCGCCAGAGGAUGAGCCCGCGUCGGAUUAGCUAGUUGGUGGGGUAAAGGCCUACCAAGGCGACGAUCCGUAGCUGGUCUGAGAGGAUGAUCAGCCACACUGGGACUGAGACACGGCCCAGACUCCUACGGGAGGCAGCAGUGGGGAAUAUUGGACAAUGGGCGAAAGCCUGAUCCAGCAAUGCCGCGUGAGUGAUGAAGGCCUUAGGGUUGUAAAGCUCUUUUACCCGGGAUGAUAAUGACAGUACCGGGAGAAUAAGCUCCGGCUAACUCCGUGCCAGCAGCCGCGGUAAUACGGUGGGAGCUAGCGUUGUUCGGAAUUACUGGGCGUAAAGCGCACGUAGGCGGCUUUGUAAGUUAGAGGUGAAAGCCUGGAGCUCAACUCCAGAACUGCCUUUGAUACUGCAUGGCUUGAAUCCAGGAGAGGUGAGUGGAAUUCCGAGUGUAGAGGUGAAAUUCGUAGA